GUUGAUCAUGGCUCAGAUUGAACGCUGGCGGCAGGCUUAACACAUGCAAGUCGAGCGGGGAAAUGUAGCUUGCGUACAUUACCUAGCGGCGGACGGGUGAGUAAUGCUUAGGAAUCUGCCUAUAGUGGGGGACAACAUCUCGAAAGGGAUGCUAAUACCGCAUACGUCCUACGGGAGAAAGCAGGGGACCUUCGGGCCUUGCGCUAAUAGAUGAGCCUAAGUCGGAUUAGCUAGUUGGUGGGGUAAAGGCCUACCAAGGCGACGAUCUGUAGCGGGUCUGAGAGGAUGAUCCGCCACACUGGGACUGACGACACGGCCCAGACUCCUACGGGAGGCAGCAGUGGGGAAUAUUGGACAAUGGGGGGAACCCUGAUCCAGCCAUGCCGCGUGUGUGAAGAAAAGGCCUUUUGGUUGUAAAGCACUUUAAGCGAGGAGGAGGCUACCGAGAUUAAUACUCUUGGAUAGUGGACGUUACUCGCAGAAUAAGCACCGGCUAACUCUGUGCCAGCAGCCGC
rnacentral:rRNA from 1 species